rnacentral:rRNA from 1 species
CCUACGGGAGGCAGCAGUGGGGAAUUUUGGACAAUGGGCGCAAGCCUGAUCCAGCCAUGCCGCGUGCGGGAAGAAGGCCUUCGGGUUGUAAACCGCUUUUGUCAGGGAAGAAACGGCUUUCUCUAAUACAGAGGGCUAAUGACGGUACCUGAAGAAUAAGCACCGGCUAACUACGUGCCAGCAGCCGCGGUAAUACGUAGGGUGCAAGCGUUAAUCGGAAUUACUGGGCGUAAAGCGUGCGCAGGCGGUUAUGCAAGACAGAUGUGAAAUCCCCGGGCUCAACCUGGGAACUGCAUUUGUGACUGCAUGGCUAGAGUACGGUAGAGGGGGAUGGAAUUCCGCGUGUAGCAGUGAAAUGCGUAGAUAUGCGGAGGAACACCGAUGGCGAAGGCAAUCCCCUGGACCUGUACUGACGCUCAUGCACGAAAGCGUGGGGAGCAAACAGGAUUAGAUACCCUGGUAGUCCACGCCCUAAACGAUGUCAACUGGUUGUUGGGAGGGUUUCUUCUCAGUAACGUAGCUAACGCGUGAAGUUGACCGCCUGGGGGAGGACGGUCCGGCGAGUUAGUUAACGUACGAAAGAAAGUUAGACGGCGNGAGAGNGCGACGGACGACGACGAGGGAGGAGG